GAUGAACGCUUUCUUCUUUCCUAAUACAUGCAAGUCGAACGAAACUUCUUUAUCACCGAGUGCUUGCACUCACCGAUAAAGAGUUGAGUGGCGAACGGGUGAGUAACACGUGGGCAACCUGCCCAAAAGAGGGGGAUAACACUUGGAAACAGGUGCUAAUACCGCAUAACCAUAGUUACCGCAUGGUAACUAUGUAAAAGGUGGCUAUACUACCGCUUUUGGAUGGUCCCGCGGCGCAUUAGCUAGUUGGUAGGGUAAAGGCUUACCAAGGCAAUGAUGCGUAGCCGAAUUGAGAGGUUGAUCGGCCACAUUGGGACUGAGACACGGCCCAAACUCCUACGGGAGGCAGCAGUAGGGAAUCUUCCACAAUGGGCGAAAGCCUGAUGGAGCAACGCCGCGUGGGUGAAGAAGGUCUUCGGAUCGUAAAACCCUGUUGUUAGAGAAGAAAGUGCGUGAGAGUAACUGUUCACGUUUCGACGGUAUCUAACCAGAAAGCCACGGCUAACUACGUG
rnacentral:rRNA from 1 species